rnacentral:SRP_RNA from 1 species
CAACCUGCUUAGGCCCGGAAGGAAGCA